UACGGGGGGAGCAAGCGUUGUUCGGAUUUACUGGGCGUAAAGGGCGCGUAGGCGGUCGUGACAAGUCACUUGUGAAAUCUCCGGGCUUAACUCGGAACGGUCAAGUGAUACUGUCGGACUAGAGUACAGAAGGGCAACUGGAAUUCUCGGUGUAGCGGUGAAAUGCGUAGAUAUCGAGAGGAACACCUGUGGCGAAGGCGGCGAUCUGGGAAGAUACUGACGCUGAGGUGCGAAAGCGUGGGGAGCAAACAGG
rnacentral:rRNA from 1 species